GAGGGUAUAGCUCAGUAGUAGAGCACAUGCUUAGCAUGCACGAGGUCCUGGGUUCAAUCCCCAGUACUUCCA
rnacentral:tRNA from 1 species